UAACCUGCCUGGUAGCGGGGGGUAACUAUUGGAAACGAUAGCUGAUACCGCAUAACAGUCGACAUUGCAUGAUGUUGAUUUGAAAGGGGCAAUUGCUCCACUACCAGAUGGACCUGCGUUGUAUUAGCUAGUUGGUGAGGUAACGGCUCACCAAGGCGACGAUACAUAGCCGACCUGAGAGGGUGAUCGGCCACACUGGGACUGAGACACGGCCCAG
rnacentral:rRNA from 1 species